rnacentral:rRNA from 1 species
GUGGGGAAUAUUGGACAAUGGGCGCAAGCCUGAUCCAGCCAUGCCGCGUGAGUGAUGAAGGCCUUAGGGUUGUAAAGCUCUUUCAGUGGGGACGAUAAUGACGGUACCCACACAAGAAGCCCCGGCUAACUUCGUGCCAGCAGCCGCGGUAAUACGAAGGGGGCUAGCGUUGUUCGGAUUUACUGGGCGUAAAGCGCACGUAGGCGGAUCGUUAAGUCGGGGGUGAAAUCCUGGAGCUCAACUCCAGAACUGCCUUCGAUACUGGCGAUCUUGAGUCCGGAAGAGGUGAGUGGAACUCCUAGUGUAGAGGUGGAAUUCGUAGAUAUUAGGAAGAACACCAGUGGCGAAGGCGGCUCACUGGUCCGGUACUGACGCUGAGGUGCGAAAGCGUGGGGAGCAAACAGGAUUAGAAACCCUUGUAGUCC